GACGAACGCUGGCGGCGUGCUUAACACAUGCAAGUCGAACGGUGAAGCGCCUUCCUUUUUGGUGGGUGUGGAUGAGUGGCGAACGGGUGAGUAACACGUGAGUAACCUGCCCCCUUCUUCUGGAUAACCGCAUGAAAGUGUGGCUAAUACGGGAUAUUCUGGGUCUGUCGCAUGAUGGGUCUGGGAAAGAUAUUGUUUCGGUGGGGGAUGGGCUCGCGGCCUAUCAGCUUGUUGGUGGGGUGAUGGCCUACCAAGGCGGUGACGGGUAGCCGGCCUGGGAGGGUGGACGGUCACACUGGGACUGAGACACGGCCCAGACUCCGACGGGAGGCAGCAGUGGGGAAUAGUGCACAAUGGGCGCAAGCCUGAUGCAGCGACGCCGCGUGAGGGAUGGAGGCCUUCGGGUUGUGAACCUCUUUCGCCAGUGAAGCAGGCCUGCCUCGUUUGUGGGUGGGUUGACGGUAGCUGGAGAAGAAGCGCCGGCUAACUACGUG
rnacentral:rRNA from 1 species